AGGGAAUCUUCCACAAUGGACGAAAGUCUGAUGGAGCAACGCCGCGUGAAUGAAGAAGGCCUUCGGGUCGUAAAAUUCUGUUGUCAGAGAAGAACGUGCGUGAGAGUAACUGUUCACGUAUUGACGGUAUCUGACCAGAAAGCCACGGCUAACUACGUGCCAGCAGCCGCGGUAAUACGUAGGUGGCGAGCGUUGUCCGGAUUUAUUGGGCGUAAAGGGAACGCAGGCGGUCUUUUAAGUCUGAUGUGAAAGCCUUCGGCUUAACCGAAGUAGUGCAUUGGAAACUGGAAGACUUGAGUGCAGAAGAGGAGAGUGGAACUCCAUGUGUAGCGGUGAAAUGCGUAGAUAUAUGGAAGAACACCAGUGGCGAAAGCGGCUCUCUGGUCUGUAACUGACGCUGAGGUUCGAAAGCGUGGGUAGCAAAC
rnacentral:rRNA from 1 species